AAGGAAGAGCCGCUCCAUAUCAGCUUGUUUUUUUCCCUCCAAAGCAGUGGAAACAGCAACAGCCUAUUUUUCAUUAAUUAAUUAAAAGGGUGCGGAGUAGACCUUAGUUCAAGGGGAAUCUUCUUUAGUUGCUGACAGAUUAACAUUGAAAAAGGGAGGUACAGAAGAAGGGGUUGUUGUUUUAAUCAUGUUGCAAGUAGAGUAGUAGUAGCUAAGGUAGUAGAGUUCAAAACAAACUUGAACUCAGCCGUUGCUUAGUAGCUAAGGUAGUAGAGUUCAAAACAAACUUGAACUCAGCCGUUGCUUAGUAGCUAAGGUAGUAGAGUUCAAAACAAACUUGAACUCAGCCGUUGCUUAGUAGCUAAGGUAGUAGAGUUCAAAACAAACUUGAACUCAGCCGUUGCUUAGUAGCUAAGGUAGUAGAGUUCAAAUCAAAUUUGAACUCCAUCUCUAGGAUAGACGGUUCCUAGGAUAGACGGUUCCUGAGUCCUAUAUAAGGACAUGUACUCAUCACUUGUAAGAUAAGCUAUUACAUAGAGAAAUAAAUCAAGAGCUUCAGCAUCA